UACGGAGGGGGCGAGCGUUGUCCGAAGUUACUGGGCGUAAAGGGCUCGUAGGCGGCCAACUAAGUCAGACGUGAAAUCCCUCAGCUUAACUGGGGAACUGCGUCUGAUACUGGAUGGCUUGGAUUCGGGAGAGGAAUGCGGAAUUCCAGGUGUAGCGGUGAAAUGCGUAGAUAUCUGGAGGAACACCGGUGGCGAAGGCGGCAUUCUGGACCGAUAUUGACGCUGAGGAGCGAAAGCCAGGAGAGCAAACGGG
rnacentral:rRNA from 1 species